rnacentral:lncRNA from 1 species
AAUACCAUAGGCUGCAGGGCUUCAACAAUAGACAUUUGUUAAUAUUUCUUCUGAAAGUUGGGAAGUCCAAGAUUGAGGUGCUGGCAGAUUCUGUGUCUAGUGAGGGCCACUUUCUGGCUCGUAGACAACCAUCUUCUCCUUGUGUCCUCACAUGGCAAAAGGAAAGAACUCUGACCAUUUCAGAGUUCUGUGUAAAAGCACUAAUCCCAUUCAUGAAGACUCCACUAUCAUGAUGUAAUUACUUUUCAAAGGCCCUGCCUCCUUAUACCAUCACACUGGGGGGUUAGGGUUGCAGCAUAUGAAUUGGAAACUAGGGAACACAUUUUGUCUAUGGUACUAACCCACAUCCAAUUCAUGAGCAAAUCCAUAGGCUCCACCUUCAACAUUUAUUCAGAAGUUAACUUUGAUCACCACCUCCACAGCCACCAUCUUAGUCCAGGACAUCAUCAUCUCUUACUUGGAUUAUUGCAGUAGCUUAACUUGUCCCCCUGACUGUGCCAUUUCUAAGGCAGUCUGUCCUCAACCCAGCAGCUCUUCUGUCAGUUUGCCAGGACUUAGACUUCUAUGAAUCCAUGAAUGUGGGCUGGCUCUGCGAACACUGCUGUGAAGGCUACAUUUUUUUGCGGACCACCUAGGCACAGUUCUGGAGGCGAGCAAGUCCAAGAUCAAAGCACUGGCAGCUUCUUUGAGGGUCUGUUCCAGUAAAAGCAUCUUCUUGCAACAACAUCCUCACAUGACAGAGGGGGGAAGGGCAACAGGACAUGAAUGCUGUGCCCUCACCUGGUGAAGAGAGGAAGAGCAAAAGGGUCUCAGCUAGCUCCCUCCAGCCCUUUUCUAAGGUGCUAAUUCAUUCAUGAGUUAACCACUUCCCAAAAGGCCCUACUUCUCACUACUACCACAAUGGAGAUUAA